rnacentral:ribozyme from 1 species
UGCCCAGCAACUCCUAUCCCUAUCUCCUAGUGAUAUCGGCCGAGCAACCUUAGGGAAGAUCGGGUAACAAACCCCGGUGGGAACAUUGGUCUACGCUGACAGGGAAGG